AUUCCACUGGGAGUACGACGCAGGUGAAACUCAAAGGAAUGACGGGGCCCGCCCAGCAGUGGAUUAUGUGGUUUAAUCGAAGCAACGCGAAGAACCUACCUGGGCUGACAUCCAACUAACGAAGCAGAGAUGCAUCAGGUGCCUUCGGGGAAAGUGAGACAGGUGGUGCAUGGUGUCGUCAGCUCGUGUCGUGAGAUGUUGGGUUAAGUCCCGCAACGAGCGCAACCGUUAUUGCUAGUUGCUACGCAAGAGCACUCUAGCGAGACUGCCGUUGACAAAACGGAGGAAGGUGGGGACGACGUCAAAUCAUCAUGCCCUUAUGUCCAGGGCUACACACGUAAUACAAUGGCGUUCAACAAAGGGAAGCAAAGCCGCAAGGCGGAGCAAAUCCCCAAAAGGCGUCCCAGUUCGGAUCGUGGGCUGCAACCCGCCCACGUGAAGUCGGAAUUGCUAGUAAUCGCAGGUCAGCAUACUGCGGUGAAUACGUUCCCGGGCCUUGUACACACCGCCCGUCACACCACGAAAGUUGGUAACACCCGAAGCCGGUGGGGUAACCGUAAGGAGCCAGCCGUCUAAGGUGGGGCCGAGAUGGGGUGAAGUCGAUUGGAAGGUAACCUA
rnacentral:rRNA from 1 species